UAACGCGUGGAUAACCUGCCUCACACAGGGGAGUAACAGUUAGAAAUGACUGCUAAUACCGCAUAAGCGCACGGCAUCGCAUGAUGCAGUGUGAAAAACUCCGGUGGUGUGAGAUGGAUCCGCGUCUGAUUAGGUAGUUGGUGGGGUAACGGCCCACCAAGCCGACGAUCAGUAGCCUACCUGAGAGGGUGACCGGCCACAUUGGGACUGAGACACGGCCCAA
rnacentral:rRNA from 1 species